rnacentral:rRNA from 1 species
UACGAAGGGGGCUAGCGUUGUUCGGAAUCACUGGGCGUAAAGCGCACGUAGGCGGACAUUUAAGUCAGGGGUGAAAUCCCGAGGCUCAACCUCGGAACUGCCUUUGAUACUGGGUGUCUUGAGUAUGGUAGAGGUUGGUGGAACUGCGAGUGUAGAGGUGAAAUUCGUAGAUAUUCGCAAGAACACCAGUGGCGAAGGCGACAUACUGGGUCAUGACUGACGCUGAGGCUCGAAAGCGUGGGGAGCAAACAGG